rnacentral:rRNA from 1 species
AGUGAACGCUGGCGGUAGGCCUAACGCAUGCGAGUCGAACGGCAGCACAGUAAGAGCUUGCUCUUACGGGUGGCGAGUGGCGGACGGGUGAGGAAUACAUCGGAAUCUACUUUUUCGUGGGGGAUAACGUAGGGAAACUUACGCUAAUACCGCAUACGACCUACGGGUGAAAGCAGGGGAUCUUCGGACCUUGCGCGAUUGAAUGAGCCGAUGUCGGAUUAGCUAGUUGGCGGGGUAAAGGCCCACCAAGGCGACGAUCCGUAGCUGGUCUGAGAGGAUGAUCAGCCACACUGGAACUGAGACACGGUCCAGACUCCUACGGGAGGCAGCAGUGGGGAAUAUUGGACAAUGGGCGCAAGCCUGAUCCAGCCAUACCGCGUGGGCGAAGAAGGCCUUCGGGUUGUAAAGCCCUUUUGUUGGGAAAGAAAAGCAGCAGGUUAAUACCCCGCUGUUCUGACGGUACCCAAAGAAUAAGCACCGGCUAACUUCGUG